CACGUAGGCACCAAGCGUUGUCCGGAUUUAUUGGGCGUAAAGAGCUCGUAGGCGGUUCAGUAAGUCGGGUGUGAAAACUCAGGGCUCAACCCUGAGCUGCCACCCGAUACUGCUGUGACUUGAGUCUGGUAGGGGAGUGGGGAAUUCCUGGUGUAGCGGUGAAAUGCGCAGAUAUCAGGAGGAACACCGGUGGCGAAGGCGCCACUCUGGGCCACGACUGACGCUGAGGAGCGAAAGCGUGGGGAGCAAACAGG
rnacentral:rRNA from 1 species